UACGUAGGGGGCAAGCGUUGUCCGGAAUCAUUGGGCGUAAAGAGCGUGUAGGCGGUCCGGUAAGUCGGCUGUGAAAGUCCAGGGCUCAACCCUGGGAUGCCGGUCGAUACUGCCGGACUAGAGUUCGGAAGAGGCGAGUGGAAUUCCAGGUGUAGCGGUGAAAUGCGUAGAUAUCUGGAGGAACACCGGUGGCGAAGGCGGCAUCCUGGACCAACACUGACGCUGAGGAGCGAAAGCCAGGGGAGCAAACGGG
rnacentral:rRNA from 1 species